UGCUAUUUUGGGUGAUGAUAUAAUGGCUUCCAGAAUCACCAAGAGGACUUUCAGCACCUCUCUGGGGAUGCGGGCGGGGUUGUUCCGCAUGUCUGGGUGGGCCUCCCUCUCACUACGGAUCCUCCUACCAAGAGGAAUGCUAUUUUUGACCUCGGGUGGAGUCCCCCAGUAAGCAGCUGCCUCACAGUUUAUCCAAGACAAGAGCAGAGAAGAGGAACCUGGAAGAUGGCGAGGCAUCGUUUUUCUUACCGCGCGCGUAAUGUGUGUUAUUGAUCAAACCUUGAUGAGGACUCGUCAUGCUUACUUACCUCUGGUUGAAAAGAAAUCAGAAAGGAAAAAGAAAAAUGGUGAGAGCUACGAGCUCCUGCUUCUCGGCACCAGUCUGAUCGGGAUAUGAGCAUGCCUCGGUCACGGGGACCACAGGUUCCUCCCUCGCUUUAGUCCUUUGGGCGCCUCAGUAUAUGAUGCCAUAAAUGUAUCUGCUGUGAAAAACCA
rnacentral:sRNA from 1 species